UAUACGUGUGCUUUCUGCGAUUCACGGUUGCGCUAAACGGCAUACUGUAAUAUUACACAAGCGUUUAUCCGAGAAAAGAAAUUGUUUCUUUCCAUUCGUGGCUUAAAGUAGCGCCAAAAAGAUAAGAAAUCAUUCCGUUAAGAAUUAUUAAAGAAAACAAUACGUUUAGAGCACAACAAAAAUAAUUGAACAGAACCAAUGAACUAAAAAGAAAAAUAUUAAAAAAGCAAUGUAUUAGAUUGUUUACAUUUGAUGAAUUGGGACAAAACUAAAGGGAAAGACCGUGAUAAGAUGGUGAUAAGGGGGGAAAAAGUUAGAAAAUGGAUAACACAGCAAUGUAAAGAAAGGGACAGAAGCGAGCAAAUAAAUUUGAAUCAACUUAGUGCAAAACAACAUUAUCAAAAGCUAGGUAGUGUUCGUGGCUGAGAUAGCACAACUGUAGAGCGACAUAUUAUCUUUAAAAUCAAUAUCUUGUAGGCUUGUAAUUUUUGCCUAAAUUGCCUUCAAUUGGUUCAGGUUCGUUCGUUGCCAGAAGAAUGGGCUUUGAGUCCGGCUUUUAUAUGGAAGAAAACUUCUCGGGCAACGUUAAAACAAGCAUGUAUCGCAAGAGCAAAAAAACUGAUGAACACAAAACCACAAUUGGCUGAAAAGAGUGUUAAGGUAAUCGAACGUAAAUUCCAAGCAAAGCAAACGACUGCAAACCGAUGUUAUUGACAGCGCGAUCACGAUGAUCACAAAACGCCGACAAUGUAAGUCAAAUCGUGUAAAGAUUGUUAGUCUAUCUUAAUGAAAAAAUGUAGACUAGUGAAAAGAAUCUGAAAUGAAAUGGAAAAAUAAAACGUGACAUAGUGAAACAUAUAUAUGAAUGGCCUUAUCUCUGUGUAUAUAUUCGAAUUACCCGUGUGCAAGAAGAAAGUUUAAUGUGUUACAUUGAUCUGUAUUGAUUGAUUUUUGGAGAUAAGUAUCACAUUGGAAACAUCCCAAUAUAAAACUAGUUGAAGAGAAACAUAUUUAAUGUGCUAAUAUAUGAGAUUUAGAUUUGAGUUUAAAACAAACUGAAAGAAACUGUCUGUCCGGAAUAAUAGUUAUUUUUCAAAUAUGAGUACGGUAUGUUCACAAGUUACGCAGUUAUUUGCAGUAAAGCGAGUUUUUCAAAAAUUUAUAGUUUUUUUUGAGAAAGCUGCACUUGUGCAUUAUAAAAUACAAAAUGAAUUGUCUUUUCAUUUCAAUAUUACAUUGAAUUGAAGAAAACAAACUAAAUAUUUUUUUAAAUGAGCUCAGGCACGUAACGAAUUUGGUAACAACAUCGAUUUACUAAAUAGUUUUUAGUGGUACAUCAUUAUUUUAUACAAACUUACAACAUCAAUUAAAACUACUCGCAUUAGCUGACAUUGCUUGCCAUUGUUUAUUUGGAAAUUAUUAACCGCGUAACUGGCGAACUGACUGCAAGUGCAUUAAAUUGUAGUAAAGAUUAAAAAAAUCGGUGGCGUGUACAGUGAUGUUUUUUAUAUGUUCUGGCUCCUUCUUUUUUUUUUCUUCUACUACUUGGCGUAACGUCCUAUGCGGACAUUUCAUUUCAUUUCAUUUCAUUUAUUAAUUUCAAUAUGUCUGCCUCUGGGGUUGAACAUAUAAUUGCUUAAAACUUAGUUAGCUCUAUUGGUACUAAACUAACUGUAACUAACUAAACUAAGGGGAAAUAGAAAAGGAUAUAACAGAAUGGAAAUCCAUAGUGAAAGGAAAAUAAGCAGCGGAUAAGAAGAAAAUAUUUAAAACAAAAAAGAAAUUAAGAAUAACAGAGACAUAAUUAGAAAGAAUAACAAAGAGCCGGAACAUAAAAUUAGAAAUUAAAAUCGCGGUAAUGUUCAUUGAAUUGACGCAAACAAAUUAGCCACGGGUCGUUAAUGCCAAACGCUGUAUUGCGGAAAGGUAUUUCAAGAGCCGUCCGAUUUCUUAAACACCUGGAAGGAACAUACCAACUAAGUUGGGAAAUCAAGUCUGGAGCAUCUAUAUUCCCUCGUAACAAAUUGCUGAUAAAUGACACACAUGUUUUAGUUCGUCUAGAUUCGAGGGUGUCGAGAUUGAACAAUAUGCAACGAUCACUGUCUGACGGUAAUGCGGUGGUAGAAUUUCCAAAGAGGCGACGAUAUAAGCACCUAGUGAAGCACUGUUGCACGCCUUCGAGUUUGUUAUUCCAACCUGCCCUGUUAGUACAGAAGACAACAGAAGCAUACUCAACAACAGGGCGCACUAGGGAACAAUACAAUGCCUUAAGGCACCUCAAAUCGGUGAAGCCCGACGUCAUGCGAAAAAUAAGGCCAAGGUUUGAAUAAGCUUUACCGAUGACCAAUUCAAGGUGACUAUCGAACUAUCGCCUUUCGUCUAACAUAACACCUAAAUCGCGAACACAUGACACCCUGUUGAUAACAGUGUUAUUAAGAACAUAAUCGUGAAUAAGAGGGGAAUGACGACGACAAAAAGAGAUCACGCUACAUUUACUAGGACAGAGCUCUAAGAAGUUUGACGCACACCAUGAAUAGAGGGAGUUAAGAAGAUAUUGGAGUGCGCUGCAAUCAUCCUCUUGCAUCACUGGAACAAAUACUUUAAUGUCAUCUGCAUAUAGAAGGAGGUUAGGAGAUGGUAGAAUAAAACUAAUGUCAUUUAUGAAUAACAGAAACAAGAGGGGACUUAGUACACUUCCUUGAGGGACACCAGAAGAAUUGGAAAACGGUAAAGAAAAGGACGAUCCGUAGCUUACAUGAAGAUUUCUAUUAGAGAUGUAAGAUCCAAUCCAGUGAACGAAAGACGUAGAUAAGCCUAAUUUAGAGAGCUUCAUCAACAAUAGUUUAUGAGAUACUCUAUCAAAAGCAGAUUUAAUAUCAGUAUAAACUGUAUCAACUUGGUAACCUGUAUCCAAGUACUGGAACAAUUUGGAUAUGAAUGACUUAAGGCUAAAGGUAGUGGAACGUUUUGCUAGCCACUACAGACUUUCGAGACUUAAUCAGUACCACGCAGCCGGAUAGCCAGUCUUUACGUGAUUUUAACAAAAAAAAACUAAACAACACCUAACACAGGGUUCGUUCAAUGUUUGCUUACAGGGGAUAGUAAGGGGUUUCGUUGUUAUUAGGAUUAUUUUAGCUUCGCUACACUAGUGAGAAGGAAUAAGUCUAGCAAAAGAUAAUGAGCAGCUGGGUCAAGGAAUACCAGCAAAACUGUAUCCAAAUGUACGAUAUGCACCGAUCUCAUUGAGAUGGUGUAGAUGGAGCAGUGUGUAGUGACAGUAGUACAUGGUUGGUAGGUGAAAAGUGGUUUGUUGUUGUUGAAUGCACCGAGCACUACAAGUGCGUGCAGGUGCGUAUAACCGUUGGUGGUGUGACCAUUGGCCUGGUUAAGUGGCAUCGCAUUCUAGGUAGGGUAAAACAGAUCGUACAAAUAGUGUGUGGCAGUGUGUGUGUGUGUGUGUGUGUGUGUGUGUGUGUGUGUGUGUGUGUGUGUGUGUGUGUGUGUCAGAAUACCAUACCAAUACAUGGGGAUACUGUGGUCUGCUUGGUUGAGUGUUACUUAGCGUCCUUUGCUACAUGAGCGAGGCGGAAUGCACUGCUGCAAAUGAGUAUUGGCAAGACGAAACCCGUUUUGCGUGCCACUGCGUUGCAUACUACACCGUGCGUUCGAUGCAUUGUGGUAGUAAUCGGGUAAGAUGCCAAAGCAAAGGUUAAAUGUCAUGUUGGCUGCUUCGUGGCAACUACGUUGGGACGUUGGUGUCUUGUUUAAAUGUGCAUUUGUAAUUGAGAAUCGGAGCGGGUUAAGAUUAUGGGCAUUUUAAAAUAAUAAAAAAAAACAGUAUUUGCGGAAGUGUAUUUUCUUUUCGAUUUUACGUGCGGUCGUGCUGGUUACAGGUUACUGGCUUACUAAUUCUUUUUUUAUGAAUUAUAUGGAAAUCUUCACCGAUUGGACUUGUAGGAGCGGGUGCGUUUAUUUUAACCAAACCGCGGGACAUUGUGGCUUGAUUAAUUGUUUCAGGAAAUACGGAAGCCAGCUGCUGUUACACUUAUGAGGCAGAGACUAUGAGAAAGCUGUUUGAUGGCACUGAUAAUCUCAUCCAUAGAUGGCAGGGACCCUCAUUGACUCUACGGUUGCUGUCGCUGGUGUUACUGCUGUUUUGCUGCUGUAGUAGUUGCCUUGUUCUGCUACUUGCGCCAGUCUCUCUUGCCCGGUCCCCAUUCAGGUGUACUUCGAAUAAAAAAUCAUUAAACACAAAAAUAAUAAAUAAAAUUAGGGCUUAAGUUUUCAGAAGGUUUAUACCAAAAAUAUUCUAAUUAAUUAAGGAAAAUAUUUCAAAGAAUAGUUUUAGAAAUAGUUUGUAAUACAAUUCACAAUAUGUGCUCAUCGUUUACAUAUUGUGAGAGGGCCCGCUUACCUCACUCCACAUUGGCAAAGACCGAUCUCAUACCUCCUCGUGGUGCUGCUGGUAACUAACGAGGAUUUGCCUUCCGUUAGGCUAAAUGAGACGAACACAGAUGGGCAACUCCGCUGGGGAACGGGGUGCAGGGAGUUCCGGCCGCCUGCAUCUCUUAAGGUAGCGUCAAUCUGCAACGCCGCGGAACGUGCAUCCCGUUGUGUGUGUACGAGCUAAAGUGGCGCGUAUUCUGGUGGCCUACGAACCGAUAUUGCGGCCUCGACAAUCGUGACGGGCCACCAGUCUUACUGGGUCCAAAGGCAGACGUUGUUGGUAACACUGCAACGCCUGUUGAGUAAGCCCGCUAGUGACUUUGAUGCAUCACAGGCUCAAGUCGAGUGACAGAGCUCGAUGAUGCGUGGAGUUGACUAGCAACAUGGGAGAGCCUUUUGCUCAAGCAUUGGGGAUCGAACUGUUCGGACACCUCGUCCUUUAAAGGCACGAAUAGCAGUUGCAGUAGCCGGUGCAAACGUAUGAGACACUUCGUCUAUAUAAUGGAGGUGCUUCAUUCGGGAUCGCCUUGAUUUAUCAAAGAAGAACGUUGGGCCUUUUAAGAUUGCGAACGCUUCGCCAUCGUAGUGGCUCGCAGUGGUCCGAGACACAUAUACGGUCCGAAGUUUUAAGUCGCCGAGGACCGGUGGGGUGUCGGUAGUUUCGAUCCAUUUCGAUCCAAAUAGAUAUGGUAGGGCCUAGUGAUGGGCAUGGGACUACGCGACACUCGGAAGGUAGCCUUAUGUUAUGCCUCUUGCCAGGUACGACACUGUAAGUUCGAACUCCCCAGGUUUUGACUGGGUGGCGAUGCGGGUUGCUCUUCGAGUAACUUGACACGGGUCGGUUCUCGUAGCAAUGAAGUUGUCUCGGUUUCGGUGACUCUGAUGCUGGGAUGCUAACCUGACGUCGAUACCGGAAUUUGGGGUAGCUGAUUAAAUACGCGAUAGACAAAGUUGUAAGUCGCACCUAGUGUGACGAGCAUGGUGUAAAAUGAUGUGUUAGGUACACAUCCUGUGGUUUUCGGUCGAAAAUAUGAUCGCUGUCCCCAUACAGGUCCCAUCGGUAGUCAUUCGCCCAAUUCCACGCCAAUGUUGCCCCCCCCCCCCAAUGAGAGUUCCUAUUUGGCUUUUUCGCCGAUCCUUUAUUCUGUUGUUAAUGGUUGAACCAGCGGGGUACGGAGAAAGAGGCGCAUGGAGUAAACCAGAAAAAGUUCUGGGAGUCCCCCACUCUGCACCCUCCAGUACAGGUUAGUCGUAAAGAUUUAGUCCUCCAUGUAAAUAAAAAAAAAAAACAUCACCAUUGCGGUAACACAGUAUUUAUCCCAACUAUCCCAAUUGAAAAUACCGGCAAUUAAACGACGAUCCCGGUCGUCCAUGCAUAACAUCAUACAUCUAGCAAAUCUAGUAAAUUCUAGUAAAUAUCUAGUAAAUUACCACGUGUAGCCUAAAACAUCCAACACCUCCAGUUUGUUAUACCCAACAUAACCGUCACAAUGAAUAUCGAGCAAUGUACACUUGUACCCUACCUUCAUUUGCUUACAAAUUUAAUUGUUUUGAAAUUUGACAUUUAGAAUCAACCUAAGAACCAACCGAAGAAAAUACAACUCACUCCGUUCAGUUCAGCAUUCAGCAUUUGAAGAAUAAAGACACUGCAAGUCAAAGCGGACGGAGACGUUGCCUUGAAACUUUCUUAUCAUAGUAAACGAAAGAAAACUUUACACUU